CUCAUUUUUAUAGGCAGGAAACACGCCCACAGAGCAGAGUCUGAGGUAGAGAUUCAGGUGCACAUGGUAAGUGCUCUUCAGGAAACACCUGUGAGGUGUCAAGUAUCUUUUCCAACCACAAUGGUAUGAAACUAGAAAUUAGUAACAGGAGAAAACUGGAAAAUUCACAAAUAUGUGGAAAUUAGACAAUACACUUCUGAACAACGAAUGGGUGAAAGAAGAAAUCAAAAGGGAUAUCAAAAAAUAUCUUGAAACAAACAAAAAUGAAAACACAACACAUCAAAACUUAUGGGAUGCAGCAAAAGCAGUCCUAAGAGGAACUAGAAAAAGGAGAACACACUAAGCUCAAAGUUAGAAGAAAGAAAGAAAGAACAAAGAUCAGAGCAGAAAUAAAUGAAAUCGAGACCAGAAAAACAAUACAAAAGAUCAACAAAACUAAGAGUUGGUUUUUUAAAAAGAUAAACAGAACUGACAAAGCUUUAGCUAGACUAAACAAGAAAAAAAGGGAGAAGACAAAAUCAGAAGUGAAAGAGGAGAUGUUACAACUGAUGGCACAGAAAUACAAAGGAUCAUAAGAAACUGCUACAAAU
rnacentral:lncRNA from 1 species